UCGGCUACGAAGAACGAACGCUGGCGGCAUGCCUAACACAUGCAAGUCGAACGAGACCUUCGGGUCUAGUGGCGCACGGGUGCGUAACGCGUGGGAAUCUGCCCUUGGGUUCGGAAUAACUUCGGGAAACUGAAGCUAAUACCGGAUGAUGACGUAAGUCCAAAGAUUUAUCGCCCAAGGAUGAGCCCGCGUAGGAUUAGCUAGUUGGUGAGGUAAAGGCUCACCAAGGCGACGAUCCUUAGCUGGUCUGAGAGGAUGAUCAGCCACACUGGGACUGAGACACGGCCCAGACUCCUACGGGAGGCAGCAGUGGGAAUAUUGGACAAUGGGCGAAAGCCUGAUCCAGCAAUGCCGCGUGAGUGAUGAAGGCCUUAGGGUUGUAAAGCUCUUUUACCCGGGAUGAUAAUGACAGUACCGGGAGAAUAAGCUCCGGCUAACUCCGUG
rnacentral:rRNA from 1 species